GAUGAACGCUGGCGGCGUGCCUAAUACAUGCAAGUCGAGCGAACGGACGAGAAGCUUGCUUUUCUGAUGUUAGCGGCGGACGGGUGAGUAACACGUGGAUAACCUACCUAUAAGACUGGGAUAACUUCGGGAAACCGGAGCUAAUACCGGAUAAUAUUUUGAACCGCAUGGUUCAAAAGUGAAAGACGGUCUUGCUGUCACUUAUAGAUGGAUCCGCGCUGCAUUAGCUAGUUGGUAAGGUAACGGCUUACCAAGGCAACGAUGCAUAGCCGACCUGAGAGGGUGAUAGGCCACACGGGAACUGAGACACGGUCCAGACUCCUACGGGAGGCAGCAGUAGGGAAUCUUCCGCAAUGGGCGAAAGCCUGACGGAGCAACGCCGCGUGAGUGAUGAAGGUCUUCGGAUCGUAAAACUCUGUUAUUAGGGAAGAACAUAUGUGUAAGUAACUGUGCACAGCUUGACGGUACCUAAUCAGAAAGCCACGGCUAACUACGUG
rnacentral:rRNA from 1 species